GGAAAAUCAACUACAGUGCUUUAUAUAGUUGCAACAUUGAUGGUACUGUUGCGCCCCAGGACUUCUCACCGAGAAACGCGAGAAGGUUCACAAUGGCAGCCAAACGUUUUGUCAUGUACGAG
rnacentral:lncRNA from 1 species